GAUGAACGCUGGCGGCGUGCUUAACACAUGCAAGUCGAACGGAGAGGCCUCUGCUUGCAGGGGUACUCGAGUGGCGAACGGGUGAGUAACACGUGGGUGAUCUGCCCUGCACUUCGGGAUAAGCCUGGGAAACUGGGUCUAAUACCGGAUAGGACAAUGGUUUGGAUGCCGUUGUGGAAAGUUUUUCGGUGUGGGAUGAGCUCGCGGCCUAUCAGCUUGUUGGUGGGGUAAUGGCCUACCAAGGCGUCGACGGGUAGCCGGCCUGAGAGGGUGUACGGCCACAUUGGGACUGAGAUACGGCCCAGACUCCUACGGGAGGCAGCAGUGGGGAAUAUUGCACAAUGGGCGCAAGCCUGAUGCAGCGACGCCGCGUGGGGGAUGACGGCCUUCGGGUUGUAAACUCCUUUCGCUAGGGACGAAGCGCAAGUGACGGUACCUGGAGAAGAAGCACCGGCUAACUACGUG
rnacentral:rRNA from 1 species